AACGCAAAUUGCGCCUUCUUUCGGAAGGCAUGUCUGUUUGAGGGCACCAUUUAACAAAUAAUGUGCGCGUCGUUUACGGACGACGUGCACACGUUGAUGAGCUUUUCCGAAAAAACCAAGUUUUUUUGGUGGCGCAUAAUGAACAGCGUGGGCUUUUUCUUCGAUUCUCGUGUAGCAAAUCUUCAACGCUUGGGUUGAGAAAAAGUGCGUGCCGCGCAAUGGGUGUGGCGAAUUUUACCCCUGCCCCAAUGCCACUCUUUCCCUGCGAAAGAACAAUCUUUUAUUAAGGGCCUCAAAUCAGACAAGAGUACCCGCUGAACUUAA
rnacentral:misc_RNA from 1 species